AUGAGAAGCUGCGGAAUCGGUUGUUGUUGGCGGACUCCGCAGUCAAGGUUUCUGACGGGCGCCUCGAUUCUGUGGGCGGAGUAAGGGAAUCGUGCACGGACGCACGCACGGACGCGCGGCCCGAGGCUCCGCCCUCUGCGUGGGCCUUGCUGCUCUGGGGCCAGCCGAAUGGAUGAUGCUGCCCACGGUGAGCUGGGUCCAUUAACAACCAUGACAACCCCCGACUAACAUGCCCACAGGCCAGUCUGAUGCAAAUGAUUUCUCAACUGAGAGUCUUUUCCUACGUGAUUCUAGAUUGUGGGUUUGUGCAGGCAACUUGGGCUUCUGGGAAUUAAUGAGUGCAGAGGGCCUACCACGUUCAGAAGACACUGUUUCACUGUGGUCCUACCUGUCUUCUGGCUCUCACAAUCUUUCUGUCCCCUCUUCUGCAAUGGUGCCUGAGCACUGUGGUAUUGUAUUCCCCAAAACAUUGUGCAUGCUAAUAAACUUAUCUGGGGUCAGAGACAGAACAACCACAAUAUUAAACAUAGAAGUUAGGCAGUGGUAGCACACGCCUUUAAUCCUAGCAUUCCAGAGGCAGAAAUCCAUCUGUUCAAGGAUACAGCCAAGCAUGAUGACUCACACCUUUAAUCCCAGAAAGCCAGCCUUUAAUCCCAGGGAGUGAUGGCAAAAACAAAAAGAUAUAUAAGGCGUGGAGACCAGAAAUUAGAAGCAUUUGCCUGGUUAAGUAUUUGGCUGGUUAAGCAUUCAGGCUUCUAGAAGCAGUUCAGCUGAGAGCCAUUGGGAUGAGGACACAGAAGCAUCCAGUCUGAGGAAACAAGACCAGCAGAGGAAUUGGCAAGGUGAGAUAACUGUGGCUUGUUCUGUUUCGCUGAUCUACCAGCAUUGACCCCAAUAACUGGCCUCGGGUUUGAUUUUAUUAAUAAGAACUUUUAAGAUUCAUGCUACAGAUCACUGUUGGGGAGGGACUAUAUUAAAGAUGUCUCAUUUGUGGCUAAACACUGACAGACAUGGAUUCUCUUUACUUAGUCCAUUUCUGAGUUUCUGCAUUAACCACUGUCCACUGCACAAAGGAACUUUUCUGAUGAAGUCUAGAUGCUGCAGUGGUUUCUGGGUUUAGAGAUGUAAAUUUAGAGGGAAGUUUGAUACAAUGUCCAGUUAGCAAAAAUAGUAACAGUAGAUUCACCCCGGGGUCUAUGAUCUCCCCAAUAAUGGGGUCCUCGGCCAGAUUUAUAGUUCCAGCAUUUGUUCCUUCCUAUGGCGUAGGUCUUCAAUCCAGUCUUUCUGACUGAGAAACAGAUUGGCUAACCCUGUAACUUUCAUGCCACUGCUGUGGCUAUGGUCAUAUUUGCCACACCAGUUGUUGUUGUAGCUCACAGGGUUCACAUCUGGGAAAGACUUCCGAAAAAUUUUCUCCCCCAGCAACUACACAGCCAAUAGGGAAAGCUUCCUGGUCAGGACCACUUUGAUUCCUCCGAACCCUGUGACCAAAGUUUGUGUUUGUUACUUUUUUCCAGAAAUAGGGUCUUACCAUCAAAUUCUAGUCAGCAACCAAGAGCAUGGCCUGUAUUGUUGUG